GACGUAGGGCGCGAGCGUUGUCCGGAUUUAUUGGGCGUAAAGAGCUCGUAGGCGGCUUGUCGCGUCGACUGUGAAAUCCCGUGGCUCAACUGCGGGCUUGCAGCCGAUACGGGCAGGCUAGAGUUCGGUAGGGGAGACUGGAAUUCCUGGUGUAGCGGUGAAAUGCGCAGAUAUCAGGAGGAACACCGGUGGCGAAGGCGGCAUCCUGGACCGGCAUUGACGCUGAGGAGCGAAAGCCAGGGGAGCAAACGGG
rnacentral:rRNA from 1 species